rnacentral:tRNA from 1 species
UGAUAGGUGACCGAGUUAUAGGUGGAGGGCUGAAGACCCUUUUACGGCGAUAAUAUCGCCCCUUUCAA